rnacentral:rRNA from 1 species
CACGUAGGGUGCGAGCGUUGUCCGGAAUUAUUGGGCGUAAAGAGCUCGUAGGCGGUGUGUCGCGUCGGCCGUGAAAACCUGCAGCUUAACUGUGGGCUUGCGGUCGAUACGGGCAUCACUGGAGUUCGGCAGGGGAGACUGGAAUUCCUGGUGAUAGCGGUGAAAUGCGCAGAUAUCAGGAGGAACACCGGUGGCGAAGGCGGCAUCCUGGACCGGCAU